rnacentral:rRNA from 1 species
CGGCGCGUCUUAAGCAUGCAAGUCGAACGGCAAGAGGUAGCAAUACCUCCUAGAGUGGCGGACUGGUGAGUAACACGUGGGUGACAUACCCUUCAGAUGGGGAUAGCUAUUAGAAAUAGUAGAUAAUACCGAAUACGAGCACAGGGGUUAGAGAUCUGUGAGGAAAGGAGCUAAGGCUCCGCUGAAGGAAUGGCCUGCGGCCCAUUAGCUAGUUGGUGAGGUAAGAGCCCACCAAGGCGAUGAUGGGUAUCCGGCCUUAGAGGGUGAACGGACACAUUGGGACUGAGAUACGGCCCAGACUCCUACGGGAGGCAGCAGCUAAGAAUAUUCCGCAAUGGACGAAAGUCUGACGGAGCGACGCCGCGUGGAUGAAGAAGGCCGGAAGGUUGUAAAAUCCUUUUGAAACUGAAGAAUAAGCGUUGUAGGGAAUGACAGCGUGGUGACAGUAGGUUUUGAAUAAGCAACGGCUAAUUACGUGCCAGCCGCAGC